rnacentral:rRNA from 1 species
AUGGACUUAGAGGAUAUUACAACUGCUUGCAAACUCCCGCAGUGGGGUAAUAUUAAUGAUCCUCUCAAAUAUGAAUUUAGAGAGUUCCUUGCUAGUAUUACUAUGGGAGAAUCCAGGGACAUAGCACAAGCUACCAUAGGGAGCAUUCAUUUUCCUGCUAUACAAUAUUUUGCUCUCUUCAUUGGUAGAUGCAUUAACGGUAAGGAUGAAGCAUGUCACAUGUGUGUUCCUGAUCUAUGGGUCCUCCAGACUGCUGUGUUAGGAUAUAAAGGUUAUAACUUGGGGACAAUAGUUGCACGUAGGUUGUAG